UACGUAGGGGGCAAGCGUUAUCCGGAUUUACUGGGUGUAAAGGGAGCGUAGACGGCUGUGCAAGCCAGAUGUGAAAGCCCGGGGCUCAACCCCGGGACUGCAUUUGGAACUGUGUAGCUGGAGUGUCGGGGAGGCAGGCGGAAUUCCUAGUGUAGCGGUGAAAUGCGUAGAUAUUAGGAGGAACACCAGUGGCGAAGGCGGCCUGCUGGACGAUGACUGACGUUGAGGCUCGAAAGCGUGGGGAGCAAACAGG
rnacentral:rRNA from 1 species